GAUGAACGCUAGCGGGAGGCCUAAUACAUGCAAGUCGAACGGUAACAGGGGUAGCAAUACCUGCUGACGAGUGGCGCACGGGUGCGUAACGCGUACACAACCUGCCUUAUACUGGGGCAUAACCUUGGGAAACUGAGGCUAAUUCUCCAUAACAUAUCGAAAAGGCAUCUUUUUGAUAUUAAAACUCCGGUGGUAUAAGAUGGGUGUGCGUCCGAUUAGGUAGUUGGUGAGGUAACGGCUCACCAAGCCAACGAUCGGUAGCUGGUCUGAGAGGAUGAUCAGCCACACGGGCACUGAGACACGGGCCCGACUCCUACGGGAGGCAGCAGUAGGGAAUAUUGCACAAUGGGCGAAAGCCUGAUGCAGCAACGCCGCGUGUGGCGAUGAAAGGCCUUCGGGUCGUAAAGCACUUUCUGGGAGAUGAGCAAGGAACAGUAAUCUCAGGAAUAAGUACUCGGCUAACU
rnacentral:rRNA from 1 species